rnacentral:rRNA from 1 species
GGUUAAGCGACUAAGCGUACACGGUGGAUGCCCUGGCAGUCAGAGGCGAUGAAGGGCGUGCUAAUCUGCGAUAAGCGCCGGUAAGGUGAUAUGAACCGUUAUAACCGGCGAUACCCGAAUGGGGAAACCCAGUGUGAUUCGUCACACUAUCAUUAACUGAAUCCAUAGGUUAAUGAGGCGAACCGGGGGAACUGAAACAUCUAAGUACCCCGAGGAAAAGAAAUCAACCGAGAUUCCCCCAGUAGCGGCGAGCGAACGGGGAGGAGCCCAGAGCCUGAAUCAGCAUGUGUGUUAGUGGAAGCGUCUGGAAAGGCGCGCGAUACAGGGUGACAGCCCCGUACACAAAAGCGCAUGUGCUGUGAGCUCGAUGAGUAGGGCGGGACACGUGGUAUCCUGUCUGAAUAUGGGGGGACCAUCCUCCAAGGCUAAAUACUCCUGACUGACCGAUAGUGAACCAGUACCGUGAGGGAAAGGCGAAAAGAACCCCGGCGAGGGGAGUGAAACAGAACCUGAAACCGUGUACGUACAAGCAGUGGGAGCCCCACCACUAAGCCAGUGGUGAACUCCACAUACGCAUCCUUUGCUGAGGAUACGGUUAACGGAGCGAAAGCGACGUUCAACCUCAAAACAAGCAGAGGGGGCUUAGUGGUGGGGUGACUGCGUACCUUUUGUAUAAUGGGUCAGCGACUUAUAUUCUGUAGCAAGGUUAACCGUAUAGGGGAGCCGGAGGGAAACCGAGUCUUAAUUGGGCGUUAAGUUGCAGGGUAUAGA